AGGUUUCCGAAUUUGUGCAGAGGUUUCGUCAGACAUCAACAUAUUAGGUCUGAUCAGACUCCCAAGAUAAGUGAAGUU
rnacentral:pre_miRNA from 1 species